AACGCCCCCCUUUGCUCCUGACAUUAUGUUCAGCCUAUUGACCCCUGCACACCUAACACAAGGUUGAGGUUUCAACUGAAGACUUCAAAGGCCAGGAAAACAUCCAGAGUACCAAGGACAUCAACCACCUGUAAAAGAAAAAUAAAGUAUAUCAAACAGG
rnacentral:lncRNA from 1 species